rnacentral:misc_RNA from 1 species
AACGCAUAUUGCACUCCUUGGUUAUUCCUCGGAGUAUGCCUGUUUCAGUAUCAUUUAGUAAAAUCAAGCUUUAAAGCUUUUUUUAAAGCUUGGAUAUGAGCUCUGUAGGAUCCUACUGGCUUGAAAUUCAUUCGUAGCGCUAUAUUUCAGAUAGAGGCGUCAUAGUUGACUUUUCGUCAUCUUUCGCCGCUCAUCGUUUAAGAUUUAAGUCUACGUAAAAAUUCUUUUCAAUACUUGAUCUGAAAUCAGGCAAGACUACCCGCUGAACUUAA